UUUGCUCAUCCCAGAGAGCGGCCAAUUGCCAGCUGCUGGGGAGAAAGAGCUUGGAGCGGCAGGGCUUAACCCGGUACAGCUCAGAGGUGGGUUUCUGAAGGACUCGGGGAGACAGCUGCAACAAGGUAUCACUCACUGUACAAAUAUUUUCAUUUCCGAGAGCAAAAAGAAGAACUUAAACGGGCGGCACUUGGAGUGUAAAUUUCUUUGUAGUAUUUAAAAGCAGCAUGGAUCAUUGGCAGCCGAGCUGGCUUGGAUAACAUAUUGUCAGCAUAUUUUUGUGUGUAAGAAGACUAUGUUUGUGGCAGACUAUGGAAUUGUGAAGUUUUGUCCUUUCCUUGGACCACUCAGCGAAGAUCUCUUUUUUCAAGGAACUACUGGAAAGAUCAACAUAGUAUGGACUUUGUCUUAAAGGGCCUGUAACAGAUACAAAAAAAACAGAGACAGAAAAGAGAGGAUCACUGAAACCAUGGCCGACAGAUGGGAACCGUCCAGACAGACCUACUCCAACUGAAACAUUGCUCUCCCUGGACCUUCAACCUGGACCUUGAACUUGGACUGAAACUGAAACCAUUAACUCUCCAAGGACUCCAGAUUACUGAUUGCAGGUCCUGAGACAUUUCAGCCUCUAUAAAACCAUUCUACUCCCUUUAUAUAUUCUGGUUGAUUCAGUUUCUCUGAGAAAUUCUGUCUUGCAAAGUGAGAGAAAGCUUUCAUAGCUCAAAUGAAAUCCUAUAGAAAAUACUGACCGAUGUGAGGUCAUUAUGGUUUAGAUGUGAGGUGACCCCCAAAAGCUCAUGUGUGAGACCAUGCAAGAAAGUUUAGAGGGGAAAUGAUUCGGUUAUGAAUCUUACCCAUUCCAUGAUUUAAUCCCCUGAUAGGAAUGAACUGAGUGGUAGGUAACUAUAGGCUGGUGGGGUGUGGCUGGAGGCCAUGGGUCAUUGGAGGCAUGAAUCUGGGAUGUAUGUUAUGUUUAGUGAGGAGGGCUUUUUCUCUCUUUUUCCUGGUGAUGUCUUGAGCUGCUUUCCUCCACCACACUCUUCCUCCAUGAUGUUCAACCUCACCACAAGCCCCGAGGAAUGAAGCUGGGUGUAUAUGGACUGAGACCUAUGAAACUGUGAGCCCUAAAGAAACUUUUUCUACUUUAAAAUUGUUCUUCUCAGGUCCUUUAGUCACAGCAGCAAAAUAGCUGACGAGAACUGAGGUAUUAACUAAAACACUUCCAGGAGACAGUAAAAAAAAUUCCUAGAAACUAUGACUGAGACACCAAAAUGUGCAAUAAUAGGCAUACUGCUUUUAUUAGGUGAUCCAUGCCAUAUUAAGUUAUCAUUAUAAUUCCACAAAAUUGCCUACUUACAAAUAGCAUUUCCAUCCAUUCUUUUCUUUCAAUCAAGGCUCUAGAUAAUCCCUGUAAAGACUGAAAUUUUUGAAGAUGCAGUUAUAUUAACCUUAAUUUUUCUUAAGUCAUCAUUAUUUCCUAGGUAUUUAAAGUCCAUACAUGACUCAUUAUCUAUUCUAAAAUAAUUUUCAAUCUCCUAAAUUAACCUAUAUUUUAUGUGUUCCUUAACAUUUACUUUAAACAAAGUUCUUCCUUAUGCUAAAGUAUAGCAGUUAGAAGAUCUAUUUGAAGAUCUAACAUAAAACUUGAAAAUGUCAUAGAAAAGCCAAAUAAGGACCAAGCUAUUUUUGAAACAAAUUUUGGAAUAGUUUAGUACUAAUAUCUGAGAGUGUAAAACUCCCUUUGAAGAUGAAACCUAGAAUCAGUGUUUUGGGACUAGGAGUUUCUUAGAGAAUAAUGUAUGCUAUACAGUUUCCAUACAAGUAAACUGAGGGAGAUUAUGAAGUCAGUUGAAGAAUAUAGGAUGUAUGUGGGAAAAAAAAAAGUCUUAUUUUACAUUUUUAAGUGUUAACACCUUGAUCAGCAAUUAUUUUCAGUUGGAACUUUGUAUAAAGCCAUUUAUAUACAAUACAUUUUUAAUGUUGAAAUCUUUUUCCUCAUGGCUUUAAAUUCAACUCAGAAAAUGCCUAAGAUGCAAUUUUCCAGUAAAUGUUUUAUUAAAAGGAAUGCAUUCUUUAUGGAGAGCAGAUCACUAGACAAAAUAUAGCAAAGAUUUUUAGAAUAGUUUAUCAUUAGACAUCUUUGGAAAAAAGUAACAAUGACUGUGGCAAUAACAUACGCAUAUUAGCAGACUUUAAUUUCCCAAUAAUCCUAUGUGAGGCCAAUAUUUCUAUUACCCUAUUUUACAAAUGAGGAAACUGUGAAAGUUAAACCCAGUCACUCUGUCUAACAAAUUAAUCUUCUCAACCACUCUAUUCCUUUGCAGAACAAACAUAUUCUGAAUUACUAUUUAAAGCACUUGGAUACACAUUUAAUAAUUUGCAUACCUUUCUAAAGGGGUUUAUUGGAAUUAAAAAUUAUUUUACUCCUUUUCUUGCUUAUUCUAUGAACAUAAAAUAGUGGACAGUGGUUAAGGUAAGGUAGUGAUCAAAUGGGAAAUUAUGUGCUUUAGUUCAACUCUUGAACAUUGAAUGUAGUUUGCUCUUCAGUAAGAAGAUAAUUGGUCUUGAUCCAUUGACAAAGGGUACAAUGGUAGGGUUGAUUAUGCAGCAAAUGAAGGUUUACAUAGGCUAGAAUCCUCAUUCUUAUGAGAAAGUGCAAUGACACAAAAGUCAGGGGCCUGUGGUUUAAUUUAUGCUUUAUCAGUAGCUACUUGGCUUUAGACAGGUCAUUUAAUUCUAUGAGAAUCAUUUUCCUCUCCUUUAAACUGAGGCAAUUGAAAUUUUGACCCAGAUCAACUUGAAGAUUCCCUCUAGAACUCUUCUAAAAUUUAAUGAUUUUAUGACUUAGACCUCAUUGAUAAUGGGCUAAUAUUCAUAAUUAGAUGCUAAUGAAAUAUGAUAGUUUGCUUUUUUUUUUCUCUCUGAUAGGUACAGGUUGGAUUUGAGAAUCUCCUCUUUUUUCUCUUUGUUUUUUCAGAAACGGUUGUUUUUAGAAAACAGCCAAGGUGCAUAGAGUGGAUAAAGAUAAUUUUAGAAUUUAUAAAUUAUUUAACUAGUUAAAUUAUAAGGAUUAAAAAUGAUUAAUAAGUGGAAUAUCUAAAUUUUAAAAACAAAGUUAAAUAAACUAGUCUAUUAGUUUGUCUUUGCCUGAAAUAGACAAAUAAAAAUCACAUUAUCAUACUUUAUCUAUGUAGAGAAGUUAUGUAAAAUGUAAGGAGAGAAUGACUUUGAAUUUACCUUCUGUAAAAGAUGCCCUUACUUAGCAUUCUUUUAUCGUGAUCCUUGAAUGCAGUGCUUAAGCGGUAGGAAGCCCAUUGGAGCAACUGUGAAACACCUGAAUUAGAGGUAGUUAAGGGAAGUAUCUGCAACAGCUGAAGCAAAAGGAACUUUUUUUCAGUUGAGAAAAGCAGCUUAGUUAAAACUAUCUGAGCUCAGAUGUCAAUCAUCCUCAUGCAGGACAAGUGUGGGUGAUACAUGGAAAGGGUAUUUUAAAAUCUGUUCGAGGUUGCCAAUCUGGAGGUUUGCCCAGAAAAAAAAAAAAAGGGCUUUAGAAAAAUCAUGAAG